CCCAGUAGCGGCGAGCGAACAGGGAAGAGCCCAGCACCGAAGCCCGCGGCCGUCGCCGGCCGCCGGGCCAUGUGGUGUUAGGGAGGGCCCGCUCGACCCGAGCGCGCGCGGCGAGUCCAAGUCCUUCUUGAACGGGGCCACACGCCCGCAGAGGGUGCCAGGCCCGUAGUGACCGCCGCCGAGCUCGGGUGGGUCCUUCCCGAGAGUCGGGUUGCUUGAGAGUGCAGCCCUAAGCGGGUGGUAAACUCCAUCUAAGGCUAAAUACGACCACGAGACCGAUAGCGAACAAGUACCGUGAGGGAAAGUUGAAAAGAACUUUGAAGAGAGAGUUCAAUAGUACGUGAAACCGUUCAGGGGUAAACCUGAGGAACCCGAACGUUACGGGCGGCGAGAUUCAAUCGCCUCGCCGGAGGCGGCCGGGGUCCGGCGUCUGGGACGCGCUGCGCUUCGGCGUCGCGCGCCCGGCCGGUUCUCCGCGCCGCAGCCGGAGGUGUGCACUUCUCGCCGCGUGGCACGUCGCGACCCGUCGGUCGCCGGUCCAAGGCCCGCAGGGAAGCCCGCGGAGCGGCCCUCGCGGCUCGCUCCCGGACCCGCGGUGAAUCCCGGCCGGCCGUCCGACGGUACGACCAGCUGGCGUCGGGUCGCGCCGCUUCGGCGGCGCGCGUCCCGGCCCGCGGCAAGACGGCGCGCGCUCAGCGGAAAUCGGACCCGGUCCGGUUCCGCACGCGCGCCUCUGCUGGCCGCGGAGCCCUCGGACGGACCCCCGAGCGCCCGUCGGCGACGCUUCAGCUUCGGGUAAUUUCAGGACCCGUCUUGAAACACGGACCAAGGAGUCUAGCGCGCGCGCGAGUCAUUGGGACCGCGCGAAACCUAAAGGCGAAGUGAAAGCGAAGGCCGGACACACGAGCCGGCCGAGGGAGGAUGGGCGGCGGCCUCGGCGCGCCGCCCCGCACUCCCGGGGCGUCCGGCACUCAU
rnacentral:rRNA from 1 species